AGAAAAAAAAAGUCACCAAGGGGGUCUGAAAACUCGCUAAAUAUAGCAACAAAGUCGCUAAGUUGGCAACACUGAUCAGAAUAGUAGCUAUAAACACACCUGUCAACUUUUUGUAAAAAUACUUUUUUUUAAAGCGAAUAAAACUGAAUUAUCAUUAGACAAUAACAGCUGGUUUCAACAACAGCAACAUGUAUUAUCUUUAGUUCUUCAUGUGGAAGAAAACAAAAAGAAAAAAGCUAAAAAUGAAAAAAAUACAUAUGCUUCUGAUUUCACUACAUGUUUAUGGGCAGUAGACAUAUUCUGAAGAAAAGCAAUAUCCAUAUAGCCUCCUGACUACCAGCAAUGCAAAUUUGUCCUCUGUAGAGCACCUUUCUAAACCUGAAUAUCUCCCAUGCACUGCAUACUACAGAAUUACCUCCUUUUGGUAUCUACAGAGGACAUUUAGGGCUUUCCAAUGAUACCAAAUGUGAAGGGGUGGAGCUUUGGGAACAUUAGUUUUUUCAUUAAGGAACAUGGCAGCCAUCGCUGCAAGCACAUUUUAUGAGAAGAAGAAAAGUAAGUGCAUAAAACUUCUUAUUGGGGAAUUUUUAGCUAUAAAUGUUAGCAUAUUUUAAAUAAGUCUCUUAAUAACACAUUAAAACAUAGUAUGCUUAAUUCUAACUUCAUUUUAGUAUAGUAUUGAAGUGUUUAAAAAAAAAAAAUGUCCUCCGUAGUGGACAUUUGUAGUCAUUUCUUCCAUUUUGUUCUGUUUUUUUAAAUGACCAGAAAAGGAGUCCUUUUUAGAAGCAGAAAGAAAUUUAUUGCAGUUUGAUGAGGGAAACUCAGAUCUUGAGUUGUCUGAUGAAGAAGAUCAUAGGGAAUAAGCCCUUGAAGAAGAAAGGAGGAGCAUCAGGGAUGGUACUCAGACCUGAACUUGCUGUCAUUAAGUGGUUGGACAGUUGUCAUGGCAUCCUCUGCCUAUGGCAAUCAACCUCAGGACAGACGCACAAGAUGGUUUAAGAAAAACAAAAGGUUUGUCCAUGUGCCAAGUCCACUGGCAAUUGCUGAGUACACUACCAAUAUAGGUGACGUGGACCAUAUUGAAUGUUGAGUUUCUACAGGAUGGUCUCUCACACUCAGAAAUUGACAGUAUGUGCAGUUUUCUACUUUUUUGAUCUGGCAAUCACCAACUUGUGGCUUCAGUAUAGCAGUGACUUGCAGUUUUGGGGGAAGAAACCACUACAGUUCCUUGAGUUCAAACUUCUCCUUGGUGAAGAGUUGAAGCAAAUGUUUGCCAUCAAAGUUCAUUUUUACACGUUCGGCCUUCCAAUGUCCUCUGCAGUGGACAUGUGAUAUCUAAAAAAUGUAAACUUUUUUUUUCCCAAAAAAUUAUUUCAGUCUUCUAAUUACUUUACAAACAUUGGGGGAUUUAAAAAUUUUUUUGAUUGGACAACAUUUUUUUUUCCUGGUAGUCAGG
ensembl:lncRNA